GCCGCCUUAGCUCAGUUGGCAGAGCGACGCAUUCGUAACGCGUAGGUCGUGAGUUCGAUUCUCACAGGCGGCU
rnacentral:tRNA from 1 species